UCUUUGUCCUUUGCAGCUAAGUUGUCACUGACAAUGAAGCCACCAAUUCAGAAAGAACUAUUUGCUAAUGAUAAAAUUGUCUUGCAAGCUGUUGUUUCUGGAGAUGUAAAAGAUACAGUGCAAGGUACUUCAGUAUCAUGUAAAGUGAAGGAUGAGCUUGUGCCCAAUGGGAAUAUCAAAACAGGGAAUGUUGAAUCUUCUGACACUUCACAAUUUAACAGAAUUCACGAUGACACUGUUGACACAGAGAAAUGGUUUGAUGGUCACGUGGUCACCUGCGCCAUCCGUGACACAAAUAAUAACAGAGACAUCGAGCAGGAGAUCAGUUUUCAAAAAGGAGAUGGAAAAGAGCCCACUGUUACCAUUUACAAACUUGAUAACAUCAAAGAUCAUAUCUCUCAUGUGUGUGAGGUCACCAGCCCUAAACUCGGUGAUGUCUAUGUAAUGUGGAAAGUGGGUAAUGAGUCUUACAGAGAGGGCACAACCAGUGCUCCCACCCAUCAAAAGGACUCCGCGUCUGUUCUCAGCAUCCUAACAAUGACAAAAGAAGAGUAUAAUGUCAUCACCUGUGCAGUGAUUCAUGCCAACAUGACCAAUAGAAGUUCUCCAUUACAAGUGUCAACAAGCAAAAGUAAACAAAGUUUCAUGAGAUUAAUGUGCAAGCGUUUCCAAACUAUCAUUGUUCAUCUGUUGUUCAGUUUUCCAGUGCUUUUGUCCUGUUGCUCUCUCAUCAGAUUAUCUAAAUUGUCACUGACAAUGAAGCCACCAAUUCAGAAAGAACUAUUUGCUAAUGAUAAAAUUGUCUUGCAAGCUGUUGUUUCUGGAGAUGUAAAAGAUACAGUGCAAGGUACUUCAGUAUCAUGUAAAGUGAAGGAUGAGCUUGUGCCCAAUGGGAAUAUCAAAACAGGGAAUGUUGAAUUUUCUUCUGACACUUCUCAAUUUAAAAAGAUUCACGAUGUCACUGUUGACACAGAGAAAUGGUUUGAUGGUCACGUGGUCACCUGCACCAUCCAUGACACGAAUAAUAACAGAGACAUCGAGCAGAAGAUCAGUUUUCAAAAAGGAGAUGGAAAAGAGCCCACUGUUACCAUUUACAAACCUGAUAAUGUCAAAGAUAAUAUCUCUCAUGUGUGUGAGGUCACCAGCCCUAAACUCGGUGAUGUCUAUGUAAUGUGGAAAGUGGGUAAUGAGUCUUACAGAGAGGGCACAACCAGUGCUCCCGCCCAUCAAAAGGACUCCACGUCUGUUCUCAGCAUCCUAACAAUGACAAAAGAAGAGUAUAAUGUCAUCACCUGUGCAGUGAUUCAUGCCAACAUGGCCAAUAGAAGAGCUCCAUUACAAGUGUCAACAAGCAAAACUAAAUUGUCACUGACAAUGAAGCCACCAAUUCAGAAAGAACUAUUUGCUAAUGAUAAAAUUGUCUUGCAAGCUGUUGUUUCUGGAGAUGUAAAAGAUACAGUGCAAGGUACUUCAGUAUCAUGUAAAGUGAAGGAUGAGCGUGUGCACAAUGGGAAUAUCAAAACAGGGAAUGUUGAAUUUUCUUCUGACACUUCUCAAUUUAAAAAAAUUCACGAUGUCACUGUUGACACAGAGAAAUGGUUUGACGGUCACGUGGUCACCUGCGCCAUCCGUGACACAAAUAAUAACAGAGACAUCGAGCAGAAGAUCAGUUUUCAAAAAGGAGAUGGAAAAGAGCCCACUGUUACCAUUUACAAACCUGAUAAUGUCAAAGAUAAUAUCUCUCAAGUGUGUGAGGUCACCAGCCCUAAACUCGGUGAUGUCUAUGUAAUGUGGAAAGUGGGUAAUGAGUCUUACAGAGAGGGCACAACCAGUGCUCCCACCCAUCAAAAGGACUCCGCGUCUGUUCUCAGCAUCCUAACAAUGACAAAAGAAGAGUAUGAAAAGCCCAGCACCACCAUCACCUGUGCAGUCAUUCAUGCCAAAACAGAAGAUUUAAGAGCUCCAUUACAAGUGUCAACUAGCAAAAGUGAGACGCCUGAGCCAGACACAGGCUUUGCUCUGGACUGCAAUAAAGAUGUUCUUGAGGAGGAUGAGUUCAGAAGUCUCUGGUCCACUGCCACCUCAUUCAUCUUUCUCUUCCUCUUCUCUCUGACCUACAGCGCUGUGCUCAGCUUCUUCAAGGUGAAGCAGUGAUGAUUUGUUAAAAGAACUUGUGAAGACCCCAAGGUUUCUUAUUUGUUCUGUGACAGUAAUUAAAUGUUGGUCGAAUGUAUUUAGGAACCAAAAAAGGAGAAUAAUCACUUCAUCUCUAUCUAUCUUUUGUUCUGUCCAUUCAUGUAUUUCUGUGCUUUUGUCUGAAAAACAUAUUGGCUUUCUGAGAUGUUGAAACUACAUAAUUUGCCUCUGUGCACCCAUUUGUGAAGACACUGACAAAUAUGUACACAUAUCAAUAAAGUCUUAUUAAAUCUCUGUCAAAA